GAUGAACGCUGGCGGCGUGCCUAAUACAUGCAAGUCGAGCGAACAGAUGAGGAGCUUGCUCCUCUGACGUUAGCGGCGGACGGGUGAGUAACACGUGGAUAACCUACCUAUAAGACUGGGAUAACUUCGGGAAACCGGAGCUAAUACCGGAUAAUAUAUUGAACCGCAUGGUUCAAUAGUGAAAGACGGUUUUGCUGUCACUUAUAGAUGGAUCCGCGCCGCAUUAGCUAGUUGGUAAGGUAACGGCUUACCAAGGCAACGAUGCGUAGCCGACCUGAGAGGGUGAUCGGCCACACUGGAACUGAGACACGGUCCAGACCCCUACGGGAGGCAGCAGUAGGGAAUCUUCCGCAAUGGGCGAAAGCCUGACGGAGCAACGCCGCGUGAGUGAUGAAGGUCUUCGGAUCGUAAAACUCUGUUAUUAGGGAAGAACAAAUGUGUAAGUAACUAUGCACGUCUUGACGGUACCUAAGCAGAAAGCCACGGCUAACUACGU
rnacentral:rRNA from 1 species